AGAGUUUGAUCCUGGCUCAGGACGAACGCUGGCGGCGUGCUUAACACAUGCAAGUCGAACGGUGACGAGGAGCUUGCUCCUCUGAUCAGUGGCGAACGGGUGAGUAACACGUGAGCAACCUGCCCCAGACUCUGGGAUAACAGUUGGAAACAGCUGCUAAUACCGGAUACGAGACGGAGAGGCAUCUCUACCGUCUGGAAAGUUUUUCGGUCUGGGAUGGACUCGCGGCCUAUCAGCUAGUUGGUGAGGUAAUGGCUCACCAAGGCGACGACGGGUAGCCGGCCUGAGAGGGCGACCGGCCACACUGGGACUGAGACACGGCCCAGACUCCUACGGGAGGCAGCAGUGGGGAAUAUUGCACAAUGGGCGAAAGCCUGAUGCAGCGACGCCGCGUGAGGGGUGACGGCCUUCGGGUUGUAAACCUCUUUCAGCAGGGAAGAAGCGAAAGUGACGGUACCUGCAGAAGAAGCACCGGCUAACUACGUGCCAGCAGCCGCGGUAAUACGUAGGGUGCGAGCGUUGUCCGGAAUUAUUGGGCGUAAAGAGCUUGUAGGCGGUUUGUCGCGUCUGCAGUGAAAAUCCGAGGCUCAACCUCGGACUUGCUGUGGGUACGGGCAGACUAGAGUAUGGUAGGGGAGACCGGAAUUCCUGGUGUAGCGGUGGAAUGCGCAGAUAUCAGGAGGAACACCGAUGGCGAAGGCAGGUCUCUGGGCCAUAACUGACGCUGAGAAGCGAAAGCAUGGGGAGCGAACAGGAUUAGAUACCCUGGUAGUCCAUGCCGUAAACGUUGGGCGCUAGGUGUGGGGCUCAUUCCACGAGCUCCGUGCCGCAGCUAACGCAUUAAGCGCCCCGCCUGGGGAGUACGGCCGCAAGGCUAAAACUCAAAGGAAUUGACGGGGGCCCGCACAAGCGGCGGAGCAUGCGGAUUAAUUCGAUGCAACGCGAAGAACCUUACCAAGGCUUGACAUAUACCGGAAACAUCCAGAGAUGGGUGCCCCGCAAGGUCGGUAUACAGGUGGUGCAUGGUUGUCGUCAGCUCUUGUCGUGAGAUGUUGGGUUAAGUCCCGCAACGAGCGCAACCCUCGUUCUAUGUUGCCAGCGCGUAAUGGCGGGGACUCAUAGGAGACUGCCGGGGUCAACUCGGAGGAAGGUGGGGAUGACGUCAAAUCAUCAUGCCCCUUAUGUCUUGGGCUUCACGCAUGCUACAAUGGCCGGUACAAAGGGCUGCGAUACCGCGAGGUGGAGCGAAUCCCAAAAACCGGUCUCAGUUCGGAUUGGGGUCUGCAACUCGACCCCAUGAAGUCGGAGUCGCUAGUAAUCGCAGAUCAGCAACGCUGCGGUGAAUACGUUCCCGGGCCUUGUACACACCGCCCGUCAAGUCACGAAAGUCGGUAACACCCGAAGCCGGUGGCCCAACCCUUGUGGAGGGAGCCGUCGAAGGUGGGACUGGCGAUU
rnacentral:rRNA from 1 species